GAUGAAGAACGUAGCGAAAUGCGAUAAGUAGUGUGAAUUGCAGACUUUAGUGAAUCAUCGAAUCUUUGAACGCACAUUUCGCCCACUGGUAUUCCGGUGGGCAUGCCUGUUCGAGCGUCAUUAUCCUCCCUCAAACCCCGGGUUUGGUGUUGGACCCAAGUUGUGUGAACAACUGGUCUUAAAGACAAUGACGGCGUCCGUGGGACCCUCGGUGCAACGAGCUUUUAGGAGCACGCAUCGAGUUGCAAGGACCUUCCGGGCCGGUCUCCUUUACUAUUUUACAAGGUUGACCUCGGAUCAGGUAGGAAUACCCGCUGAACUUAAGCAUAUCAAUAAGCGGAGGA
rnacentral:misc_RNA from 1 species